rnacentral:lncRNA from 1 species
UGGUGUCCUCCUGGUCCGAGGCGAUGCCCGUCCGGGGACUGCUGCUCUGCUCGGAAUCUCUCUCGCGGACGAAGUAGGCCAAGUAGAGGUCGAGCUCUUUGACAGAGACGCUGAUGUGGUGGGGCUGGAUGCAGAGGAUGGGGUUGGUGCAUUGGCCCGCCUUGACCAGCCGCUCGCCGUCGGUGCUCUCCAGCGGGAUCCCUU